UACGUAGGUGGCAAGCGUUGUCCGGAAUCAUUGGGCGUAACGCGCGCGUAGGUGACCAUUUAAGUCCGCUGUGAAAGUCAGAGGCUCAACCUUUGAAAGCCGGUGGAUACUGGAUGGCUAGAGUACGGAAGAGGCGAGUGGAAUUCCUGGUGUAGCGGUGGAAUGCGCAGAUAUCAGGAGGAACACCAAUAGCGAAGGCAGCUCGCUGGGACGUUACUGACACUAAGGCGCGAAAGCGUGGGGAGCGAACAGG
rnacentral:rRNA from 1 species